UCCUGGCUAUAGUGUGUUCAGAAGCUUUAAAGCCACUUUCGUAGUUUAUUUUACAUCAGCUAGGGUUUUACAGUUUAGAUGGAGUUUAGCUUUAUUGUGUCAGUUAACUGCAUGAUCUGUGAAACCUAUAUUUAUAUUUUCUUCAGUGUAUUCUUGUCAUGUGUGUGUCCUAAAUAAACCAAAAGAAAACUUCCCAAAUCUAAAGUAUUCAUUCUCAAAGAUGACCAAGAGGACUCAGUUAGAUACUCUCACUGUUUUCAUUUGUGGUUGGCUUUGUCAUAUUUACUUAUGAUUGAUGAUAAAUCUCUUUCGCUUUUUAGAGCCUCCUGAGAAGUCAUCUGCCUUCAAGCCUGCCACUGAAAUACAAAACUCUUUUCCAAAUGAAGCCUUCGAAUGCAAGAAGGAACAACCUUUGACAGCAGAUCAGAUGAUCCCAUCAGAAUCCAAACAAAAGGAUGAAGAAGAAAAUUCUUGGGAUUUAGAGAGUGACCGUGAGACUGUUUCACAGAAGGAUGUGUGUUUACCCAAGGCUACACCUCAAAAAGAAUUCCAUACGAUAAGUGGAAAAUUAGAAGAUCAGAUGAUCCCAUCAGAAUCCAAACAAAAGGACGAAGAAGAAAAUUCUUGGGAUUUAGAGAGUGACCGUGAGACUGUUUCACAGAAGGAUGUGUGUUUACCCAAGGCUACACCUCAAAAAGAACUCCAUACGAUAAGUGGAAAAUUAGAAGAUCAGAUGAUCCCAUCAGAAUCCAAACAAAAGGACGAGGAAGAAAAUUCUUGGGAUUUAGAGAGUGACCGUGAGACUGCUUCACAGAAGGAUGUGUGUUUACCCAAGGCUACGCCUCAAAAAGAAUUCCACACGAUAAGUGGAAAAUUAGAAGAUCAGAUGGUCCCAUCAGAAUCCAAACAAAAGGAUGAAGAAGAAAAUUCUUGGGAUUUAGAGGUACUAUGUAUUAUCAGUGUUUUUUUAAUAUUAGAACUGCAUGAUACGAAAACAUAAAAUCAGAGGCUUAGACUUUAUCUUCUCACCUCUGCAUAUGUCACCCUAAAUUAUUUUUGAUAGUUUUCAGAAUACACUUAAUAGAGAAUCUAUGUGCUAGGUAGAUUACUGCUUCAUUGUGAAAAUCUGCUAAUGUAUAGGAUUAAUUUAAGAAGCCAGCGUGGUAUAGUGGCUUAGAAGUCACUAGCAAUUCACAUGGGAUCUGGAGUACUUUUGUCUAAAAACAAAAGAAUGACACUGAGUCCAGUUAUGGGCAAAUAUAUGAUUCUGUGGUAUAUUUAGAUGUAUAGAAGUUCUAACUGGCUUCAUAGAGAGACAGUUUAAACUGCAGUAUUGUAAAAGUUGGGGCCAGAAAAGUUAAUGGCUGAGACUUGAACGUAUUGACGUAUCUUUAUUGUUCAGUAUAGAGCUGAGGGAACGUUUCAGAAGAAAGAAAAGUCUGAGGAAUAGGAAACCUUGUGGGACUAUAAUAACAAGAGUAUUGGUUGAGUAUUCUUUUAAAAAUAUAAAUUAUUUUCACAAAUAGAACUCCUUGAGGUCCUCUGUGGCAGUCAAGCUGCCUCAGCUUGAGUGUCAAAUAGUAGUGAUGUAUUUUAAGGUCACAACUAUGGAAAGACAUAGAAAGGAUCUGACCUCUUACAAACAAGCAGCUGCUGCCUGGUGGUAACAGCAAAGGAUGGAAGUAGAUAGACAGGUAGAUUUUAUCUGAUUUGUCAUGAGACAAAAAUACUUUAAUAUUGUUUGCUUUGAUUUAGACAUGACAUAAUUAUUUUUCUUAGUGCAUUUACAUUCUAUUCAAGCACUUUUUCUGUCAGCAUAAAUUUUGUCAAAAACAUAUUGCUGAUUUUAAGCCCCUGUUUACCUAAAUAAAGCAGCUUUUUCAAUAUUCUGUGCAUACAUUAUAUGACAGA
ensembl:lincRNA